rnacentral:rRNA from 1 species
GAUGAACGCUGGCGGCGUGCCUAAUACAUGCAAGUCGAGCGAACGGAUGAGAAGCUUGCUUCUCUGAUGUUAGCGGCGGACGGGUGAGUAACACGUGGAUAACCUACCUAUAAGACUGGGAUAACUUCGGGAAACCGUAGCUAAUACCGGAUAAUAUUUUGAACCGCAUGGUUCAAAAGUGAAAGACGGUCUUGCUGUCACUUAUAGAUGGAUCCGCGCUGCAUUAGCUAGUUGGUAAGGUAACGGCUUACCAAGGCAACGAUGCAUAGCCGACCUGAGAGGGUGAUCGGCCACACUGGAACUGAGACACGGUCCAGACUCCUACGGGAGGCAGCAGUAGGGAAUCUUCCGCAAUGGGCGAAAGCCUGACGGAGCAACGCCGCGUGAGUGAUGAAGGUCUUCGGAUCGUAAAACUCUGUUAUUAGGGAAGAACAUAUGUGUAAGUAACUGUGCACAUCUUGACGGUACCUAAUCAGAAAGCCACGGCUAACUACGUG